rnacentral:rRNA from 1 species
GAUGAACGCUGGCGGCGUGCUUAACACAUGCAAGUCGAACGAGAAUCAACGGAUUGAGGAUUCGUCCAAGUGAAGUUGAGGAAAGUGGCGGACGGGUGAGUAACGCGUGAGGAACCUGCCUCGGAGUGGGGAAUAACAGUUGGAAACAGCUGCUAAUACCGCAUAAUGCAACGGAAUCGCAUGACUCUGUUGCCAAAGAUUUAUCGCUCUGAGAUGGCCUCGCAUCUGAUUAGCUAGUUGGGGGUGUAAUGGACCACCAAGGCGACGAUCAGUAGCUGGUUUGAGAGGAUGAUCAGCCACAAUGGGACUGAGACACGGCCCAU